UACGUAGGGCGCAAGCGUUGUCCGGAAUUAUUGGGCGUAAAGAGCUCGUAGGCGGUCUGUUGCGUCCGCUGUGAAAACUCGGGGCUUAACCCCGAGCCUGCAGUGGAUACGGGCAGACUAGAGGUAGGUAGGGGAGAAUGGAAUUCCCGGUGUAGCGGUGAAAUGCGUAGAUAUCGGAAGGAACAUCAGUGGCGAAAGCGGCUUCCUGGACCAGCACCGACGUUCAGGCACGAAGGCGUGGGGAGCAAACAGG
rnacentral:rRNA from 1 species